GCGGGUGUAGUUUAAUGGCAGAACGUCAGCUUCCCAAGCUGAGAGCGAGGGUUCGAUUCCCUUCACCCGCUCCA
rnacentral:tRNA from 2 species